rnacentral:rRNA from 1 species
ACCUGACCGAGCGACGCCGCGUGCGGGAUCGAAGGCCCUCGGGUUGUAAACCGCUGUCGUAGGGAGGAAGGCUCCGUGAAGAGCGGGGUUUGACCUAUCCUAGGAGGAAGUACGGGCUAAGUUCGUGCCAGCAGCCGCGGUAAUACGAACCGUACAAACGUUAUUCGGAAUCACUGGGCUUAAAGGGUGCGUAGGCGGCCAUGUAAGUGAGAUGUGAAAAUCCCUCGGCUCAACCGAGGAAGUGCCUUUCAUACUGCAUGGCUUGAGGGAGACAGGGGUAAGCGGAACUGAUGGUGGAGCGGUGAAAUGCGUUGAUAUCAUCAGGAACACCGGUGGCGAAAGCGGCUUACUGGGUCUCUUCUGACGCUGAGGUACGAAAGCUAGGGGAGCGAACGGGAUUAGAUACCCCGGUAGUCCUAGCUGUAAACGAUGAGCACUUAUCUGGGGAUCCUCCCAUAGGUUCCCGGAUGUAGCGAAAGUGUUAAGUGCUCCGCCUGGGGAGUAUGGUCGCAAGGCUG